AGACGGUUGGCUCAGUUGGUAAGAGCACUCGGACCGAAUCCGAGAGGCGCGGGUUUGAGUCCCGCAUCAUUUA